rnacentral:rRNA from 1 species
UACGAAGGGGGCUAGCGUUGCUCGGAAUCACUGGGCGUAAAGGGUGCGUAGGCGGGUCUUUAAGUCAGGGGUGAGAUCCUGGAGCUCAACUCCAGAACUGCCUUUGAUACUGAGGAUCUUGAGUACGGGAGAGGUGAGUGGAACUGCGAGUGUAGAGGUGAAAUUCGUAGAUAUUCGCAAGAACACCAGUGGCGAAGGCGGCUCACUGGCCCGUAACUGACGCUGAGGCACGAAAGCGUGGGGAGCAAACAGG